rnacentral:lncRNA from 1 species
CUAAAACACUGAAUUGUACCACUUUCAGUAAACAGCCUUGCUGGAUACCUUUCAUGGGCCAGAUUCUUGACUUUCAUAAUUUAUGAAGAACUAAGAAGAGGAGGCCAGGAAACAGCUCCUACCUUAAGUGCAUCUGAUGACAAAUGACUCAAAUACCACUUUGCAGAGAGGGAGUCCCAGCUAAAAACUCACGGAGAAUGGAGGAGAACGUUGUUUUUCCUUCCCACACAUGUCUCACACUCACAGCAG